rnacentral:lncRNA from 1 species
UUCACGUAUAAUUUUAUUUGCAGCAGACAUUUUCAAAUACACAAAGCAUAAGUAUGAUAGCAGAUCACUCUUUCAACAUGCAUAAUAAUGUAUGAUAACUUGUGUAGAUUCUUAACAUGUGCCUUACAUACGCAUAAAAAAUAUGCCUACAUUCCUGAAAUUCUUUUUCAAAGUAUUAUUAUUUGUAAAUUCCAUAAAAUCCACAUGCAAAAAAUGUGACGUUAAUAUAUUUUACAUGUUUUACAUCAAUACUGUGCAAUACUUAAAUUUUUCCAUUCAAAAAUGUACUUUCUAUUUCCAGUUUAAUAUAGGGUAAGUAUUUUGUGCUCCUAAACAUCUUUAACCUAACUAUGCUGAGCAAAAAAAAUUGAAAACAACACGUUUAAUAAUUAUAUACGUCUGAGGUGUCAAAUUUUCAAAAACUAUGUGUCCAAAGUACACAGAUGCCCCAAUUGCACUAUCCUUUUCCAUGUUCCAUGGACUGUAAAAAUUGGGUAAUAAUCUAAUUUGGCAUUAAAAUUGGAAAGAUUAUACUAUAGGGAACAUAUGUACUAAGUUUCAAGUUGAUUGGACUUCAAUUUCAACAAAAACUACCUUGACCUAAAACUUUAACCUGAAACUCCCACUUUCAUUUUCUAUGUUAAGUGAACCGUAAAAUUGGGGUCAAAAGUCUAAUUUGGCUUUAAAAUUAGAAAGAUCAUAUCAUAAGCAACAAGUGUACUAAGUUUUAAGUUGAUUGGACUUCAGCUUCAUCAAAAACUACCUUGACCAAAAACUUUAACCUGAAACUCCCAUUUUCAUUUUCUAUGUUUAGUGAACCGUGAAAUUGGGGUCAAAAGUCUAAUUUGGCUUUAAAAUUUAAAAGAUCAUAUCAUAAGAAACAAGUGUACUAAGUUUCAAGUUGAUUGGACUUCAGCUUCAUCAAAAACUACCUUGACCAAAAACUUUAACCUGAAACUCCCACUUUCAUUUUCUAUGUUCAGUGGACCGUGAAAUUGGGGAAAUUUGGAGAGAAAUUUAGACUGAGAGAAAUAUGGUAUAAAAAAAAUCUGGUAAUUUUAGAAAAGGUAAAAGGUAUAUAGGUAGUUAAAACAAAAACAUCUAUACCUACACAUACUACAGUUUGAAAAGCUGUUACAAUAUUGUUGUUCUUAGAAAACUUUCAUGAUAAUAAGAACAUUGAGACAGUUGGUAAUGUGUGAUAUAGACCGAAAUAUGCAAAUCUUACAAUACUGAUUAAUACGGAGUGUCUAUUCGUCCGGCUAGCCGGACGAAUAGUUAAAAAUCUCUAUUCGUCCGGCCAUCCGUCUGCGGAUGCGCAAAUCUUCAAUAUCAAUAAAGGUGUCAUGUGACGAGGAAAGUGUCCCGGAUGAAGUGUCGGAUAACACACGUGGUGUCGGAUAACACACGAGCGUAUGCAAUGGACGUUUUGAGGAUUGGAGAUCGUGAUUUAUAUUUAAAGAUGUCAUAGAGAAAACCAGAGAGAAUGUGAUUGCUUUAAACAUAUGUAUAUAGGAGUGAUUCCAGAACAAUAAAGUGAAAUUGAUGAUUUACCCCCAUUUACCUUAUGGAGGCAAAACGCAUUUGGAAAAAAAUACUAUAUCAAACUUGCUUGGAUGCAUUAUUUUCAAGUUAUAACAACGGAGAUCUAUAACAUACUGAUAGCCUUGACUGGGAAUAAGACACCAGGGUUGGGGUUUCCCCCUUUUUUUCUGUUGUUUCUAAUACACAUUUUUUUCUAAAAAAAAUCUUAUCGAAAACACAGUCCUACUUUUGGGGACAGGUUACACGUGCCUGCCCUUUUCUCUAAUUUCCUAUGAAUUUAAAAUCGUCGAACAAUUUAAAUGAAGAAUCGUGCAUAAUCAUAUUAGGACCUUACUUUAACCAAACUUCACAGAAACAAUAAAUUCAUGAUCUUUUGGAAUCAUAGACAAAGCCAAUAAUGAUUGGCCCGACUAUUUACCUUACAGGAAAUUCAUAGACAGAACAUCAAAAGAGAGAAUUAUC